rnacentral:rRNA from 1 species
AUUGAACGCUGGCGGCAGGCCUAACACAUGCAAGUCGAGCGAGCGGCGGACGGGUGAGUAAUGUCUGGGAAACUGCCUGAUGGAGGGGGAUAACUACUGGAAACGGUAGCUAAUACCGCAUACCAUCAGAUGUGCCCAGAUGGGAUUAGCUAGUAGGUGGGGUAAUGGCUCACCUAGGCGACGAUCCCUAGCUGGUCUGAGAGGAUGACCAGCCACUCUGAGACUGAGACACGGUCGAGGCGCCGACGUGAGGCAGCAGUGGGGAUGAUUGCACAAUGGGCGCAAGCCUGAUGCAGACAGGCCGCGUGUGUGAAGAAUGCCUUCGGGUUGUAAAGCACUUUCAGCGGGGAGUCGUGACCCGCAGAAGAAUCACCGGCUAACUCCGUGCCAGCAGCCGCGUUAAUAC